AUUGAACGCUGGCGGCAUGCCUUACACAUGCAAGUCGAACGGUAACAGGUCUUCGGAUGCUGACGAGUGGCGAACGGGUGAGUAAUACAUCGGAACGUGCCCAGACGUGGGGGAUAACGAGGCGAAAGCUUUGCUAAUACCGCAUACGUUCUAAGGAUGAAAGCAGGGGACCGCAAGGCCUUGCGCGUUUGGAGCGGCCGAUGGCAGAUUAGGUAGUUGGUGGGAUAAAAGCUUACCAAGCCGACGAUCUGUAGCUGGUCUGAGAGGACGACCAGCCACACUGGGACUGAGACACGGCCCAGACUCCUACGGGAGGCAGCAGUGGGGAAUUUUGGACAAUGGGCGAAAGCCUGAUCCAGCAAUGCCGCGUGCAGGAUGAAGGCCUUCGGGUUGUAAACUGCUUUUGUACGGAACGAAAAGGCUCUGGCUAAUACCUGGGGCACAUGACGGUACCGUAAGAAUAAGCACCGGCUAACUACGUG
rnacentral:rRNA from 1 species